AGUGAACGCUGGCGGUAGGCCUAACACAUGCAAGUCGAACGGCAGCACAGUAAGAGCUUGCUCUUACGGGUGGCGAGUGGCGGACGGGUGAGGAAUACUUCGGAAUCUACUUUUUCGUGGGGGCUAACGUAGGGAAACUUACGCUAAUACCGCAUACGACCUACGGGUGAAAGCAGGGGAUCUUCGGACCUUGCGCGAUUGAAUGAGCCGAUGUCGGAUUAGCUAGUUGGCGGGGUAAAGGCCCACCAAGGCGAUGAUCCGUCGCUGGUCGGAGAGGAUGAGCAGCCACACUGGAACUGAGAGAGGGUCCAGACUCAUACGGGAGGCAGCAGUGGGGAAUAGGGAACAAUGGGCGCGAGCCUGAUCCAGCCAGACCGCGUGGGUGAGGAAGGCCGGCGGUUUGUAAAGCCCUUUUGUUGGGAAAGAAAGGCGGCAGGUUAAUACCCCCUCUGUUCGGACGUUACCCAAUGAAUAAGCACCGGCUAACUUCGUG
rnacentral:rRNA from 1 species